UACGGAGGGUGCAAGCGUUAUCCGGAUUCACUGGGUUUAAAGGGUGCGUAGGAGGGCAGGUAAGUCAGUGGUGAAAUCUCCGAGCUUAACUCGGAACUGCCGUUGAUACUAUUUGUCUUGAAUAUUGUGGAGGUUAGCGGAAUAUGUCAUGUAGCGGUGAAAUGCUUAGAUAUGACAUAGAACACCGAUUGCGAAGGCAGCUGACUACAGGUAUAUUGACACUGAGGCUCGAAAGCGUGGGGAUCAAACAGG
rnacentral:rRNA from 1 species